rnacentral:rRNA from 1 species
GUCUAUGGCCAUGCCACCCUGAACAAGCCCGAUGUCUGAUCUCAGAACCUAAGCAGGGUUGGGCCUGGUUAGUACUUGGAUGGGAGACCACCUAGGAAGACCAGGUGCUGUAGGCA